AUGAACGCUGGCGGCGUGCCUAAUACAUGCACGUCGCGCGCACGGACGAGAAGCUUGCUUUUCUGAUGUUAGCGGCGGACGGGUGAGUAACACGUGGAUAACCUACCUAUAAGACUGGGAUAACUUCGGGAAACCGGAGCUAAUACCGGAUAAUAUUUUGAACCGCAUGGUUCAAAAGUGAAAGACGGUCUUGCUGUCACUUAUAGAUGGAUCCGCGCUGCAUUAGCUAGUUGGUAAGGUAACGGCUUACCAAGGCAACGAUGCAUAGCCGACCUGAGAGGGUGAUCGGCCACACUGGAACUGAGACACGGUCCAGACUCCUACGGGAGGCAGCAGUAGGGAAUCUUCCGCAAUGGGCGAAAGCCUGACGGAGCAACGCCGCGUGAGUGAUGAAGGUCUUCGGAUCGUAAAACUCUGUUAUUAGGGAAGAACAUAUGUGUAAGUAACUGUGCACAUCUUGACGGUACCUAAUCAGAAAGCCACGGCUAACUACGUG
rnacentral:rRNA from 1 species